AACGCUGGCGGAAUGCUUUACACAUGCAAGUCGAACGGCAGCACGGGGGCAACCCUGGUGGCGAGUGGCGAACGGGUGAGUAAUAUAUCGGAACGUGCCCAGUCGUGGGGGAUAACGUAGCGAAAGUUACGCUAAUACCGCAUACGAUCUACGGAUGAAAGCGGGGGAUCGCAAGACCUCGCGCGAUUGGAGCGGCCGAUAUCAGAUUAGGUAGUUGGUGGGGUAAAGGCUCACCAAGCCAACGAUCUGUAGCUGGUCUGAGAGGACGACCAGCCACACUGGGACUGAGACACGGCCCAGACUCCUACGGGAGGCAGCAGUGGGGAAUUUUGGACAAUGGACGCAAGUCUGAUCCAGCCAUUCCGCGUGCAGGACGAAGGCCUUCGGGUUGUAAACUGCUUUUGUACGGAACGAAAAAGCUCUUACUAAUACUAGGAGUCCAUGACGGUACCGUAAGAAUAAGCACCGGCUAACUACGUGCCAGCAGCCGCGGUAAUACGUAGGGUGCGAGCGUUAAUCGGAAUUACUGGGCGUAAAGCGUGCGCAGGCGGUUAUAUAAGACAGAUGUGAAAUCCCCGGGCUCAACCUGGGAACUGCAUUUGUGACUGUAUAGCUAGAGUGCGGCAGAGGGGGAUGGAAUUCCGCGUGUAGCAGUGAAAUGCGUAGAUAUGCGGAGGAACACCGAUGGCGAAGGCA
rnacentral:rRNA from 1 species